AAUGUGAUUUUCGAAGCUUCUAAGAACGAUUCCAACCAAUCCAACUGUCAAAUCUACGAUCCGAGACCACCAAUGAACUCAACACGUCAAAAGCUUUAAGAUGGAACCAACUCUGCUUCGAUCGGACACGGUUUGGAAAAGAUGAUUAUCGGACUGUUUCAGAUCGCUUGAUGCGAUCGGAUCGGCGACAGCUCUCGGCACUUGGGACCAAGUUUUUAAGCCGAGCCUGGUGCCCGACGGGCUGUCCCGAAAGAUAGUUGUAUUUACAGUUCUUUCCAUUGUUUUCAAACAUUUUGAAUGUGUUUCAGGUAGUAGAAUUUGUAAAAGUAGUCCCUAACUCAAGUUAUGUAGUUG
rnacentral:misc_RNA from 1 species